AAUGUUCCAUUCGCUUCCUGUUCUCACAGCUGUCCUCUGCCCACUGCACUCACAGGUCUCUGAUGUUUUUUCAGUGAAUUAACUCCAAGAAUUUAAAAGAAAGAACAUUUCAAUAUGUUUUUCUGACAGGCCCUCCCAUGUCUGAACCUUCCUAGGCUGAAGGACUACAAGGCAUCUUCAUUGAUAUAAACUGCCGUCAUGAAAGAGGAGCAGCGAGUUGAGACCUUAAGCUGUUUUGUCAGAUUGUACUUUGGUAAUGGAUCUGUGGGUCUGCUGCUAUGUUACCCAAAGGUGUCUUUUCAAAACAGUCAGUCAUGUUUCUUCUUACCUAAUUAUAGGGGCAUCUGUUUCAAAAUGCAACUAAUCCCUCCAGGUUUUGUAGGCUGAGGAAAGGGGCGGAAGGGGUCAGUUGGAACUUGUGCUCUUAUCCCUCUUGCAAGAUUAUUCCCUAAUAUUCACAAAAGUAUUUAGAGCAUUGACAAGUAUUUGCCUUGACAAGCCUGUGGAGAACUUGAUACACUCUGCCUCAGAUAAACCAUUCCCUGAAAAAAGACAUCAGCAGAGCAUGGGAAGUUGCUUCACCUUGCUUUGAUUAAAAAAAAAAAAUACAAUUGGUAAUCUCCUUAAAAAUAUUGGCAAUCUAAUGCCUAUGGGAAUGAGCAAUUUCUGUAGUGCUGGUUAAACUGGUCUCUGCUCAGGUGGGCAUCGUGCAAACUCUUUCCAUGCAAAGAUUACGGGUCCUGUAACUCUGCUGGUAUACCAAAGCCAGCAUAGUGUAUGAAGUACGCUAUGGCAUGUUCUGGUGGUGGUGUAAGGGGACCUGUACUCUAUUCAGCUCAUGCUCUUUCUCCUUCUCUUUCCCAUUCUGCCCUGUGUGAGGUCUCAUGACGCAUUUAGGAAGAAAAUUCUGCAGUAGGUCAGCAUGGGGAAUAGCAAACCGGGAGCGUGGAGCAAUGUAGUUUGCUGCCCUGCAAGAGAGAUUUGUGUGCAGCCUUCAGUUCUGAGCUAUUCCACCAUAGCAGCUUUGCUGACUCUUUAAAACAUGUAGCCCAAGUCUCUCACUUGUAUGACACUGUUCCAGAAAUCUCUUUUUAUCUUUCCAUCACUGACCACUGUUCCAGAACUACACUUCACAAAAGCUUCAACGCUGCGCUCAGAAUUCUGCUUGGAAGGGUAAAAUUAUCAUAUAUCCUCUAGACACUUGGUGCUGGAAGAAAGGCAAUAGCUCAGCUGGAAUCAAUAAAGCUUGCUGGUUUAUCACCAGCUCAGGACGUAGCUUCAGCUGCAGGCCCAUGCAUCUUCACUGAGCCACCUGAAUCCUGCACUGGGGCUCCUCAGUCAGCAGUCGGACACCUGAAAUCUCCCUGAGAACUCUUAAUCUUACACAAGGCAGUGAGCACCCUCCAUUUAUCACUGCAGAAUGGCAGAAGAGGGUUAGGAUGUUCACCCUGCAAGAAGCAAUUUGAUUCGAGGCUUACAAGGGAAAAAGAACCUCUGAAGUCUUGGUAGCAACUUUUUUGAUCUGCUUUGAGAGAUCAAAAAAAACACAAGUGCUUCCCACCAUCUCCUGAAACACACUGCCUGUUACAGGCAAAGAUAACAGCAUCCUAUUAGAAAGGUGUGCCUUUGAAAGUUUACCAUAUUUAUUCUUACAGCGAUGAAAAAGGGAAGUAUUGUAUCCUUGUUCUACAGCAGCAAGCAACUGAGAUGCCUGGGGAAAAUAUGCUGUUCAUCUACUUUCAGCUAAUGAAAAGCUGUGCAUCCCUUUUCAGGUAUUCCUCUGUAACUGUGGGAGGGAAAUCAUAGACUCAUAGAAUCAGAGAAUGGCUUGGAUUGGAAGGGACAUCAAGGAACACCAAGUUCCAAACCCUCUGCCAGCCAUUAGAUCAAGUACUAGACCAGGCUGCCCAGGGCCCCAACCAAACUGGCCCUGAACACCCCCAGGGAUGGGGCAUUCCCAACCUCUCUGGGCAGCCUGUUCCAGCACCUCCAAACUCUCAGUAAAAAAAAUUCUCCUUAUAUCCAAUGUAAAUCUCCCUUCCUUUAGUUUAAAAACCAUUCUUCUUGGUCCUAUCAGUAUCUAUCCAUGUAAAAAGUUGAUUUUCUUCAACCAUUGCAUCCUCAAGAAACUGCACAACUAGGAUGAAGCGCUGACUGAGGAGGGAACUUUACUGAGUGCAAAGGCAAAAAUGAAACUAAAUUCUAAAUAGUCAAAAGUAGGCAGAAUUAAUUACACCCUAAAUAAUUUUCCUCAUCUCUCUCACACACAGUAAGCAUGCAGCAGAACAGGAAACAAGACUCGCUCUUCUCCAUUCUCACACUGACACUUGAGCCACCAGGACAUUUCUUCCUCGCUGCCGAGCCACCCUGCCUCUGUCUGUUCAGCAUUUAUAGCCAAGGGGACGUUUCCAAGGGCUCAGCACACGAAGCAAUAAAAUUGGCAAUUUGAA